rnacentral:tmRNA from 1 species
UUGCUUUCAUUAUAGCAUAAAAUAGUGUAUAAUUUACUUGUUAUUUAAUAUUUUUAAUUGAAUAACUAUUAAGAUAAACGUUUAUAUAAUUACUGCUUUGGACCUGGGGGCAGUACCCAGCGCCUCCACCAUUUUUCUUAAGGGGGCGAAAUAGCUUCGACAAAUCAGGAAAAAUAAAUUUUCUUACGGUAUGAUAUCACCGUUAUCGAGUCAAAUUUAUAAACGCCAAUGAUAAUUCAGGUGUUGCUUUAGCAGCUUAGUUGCUCUGAAGUAAGGGGGUUUGGGUAUUACCUGGCAACAGAAAAUACCCAUU